rnacentral:rRNA from 1 species
AGCGAACGCUGGCGGCAGGCUUAACACAUGCAAGUCGAACGGGCGUAGCAAUACGUCAGUGGCAGACGGGUGAGUAACGCGUGGGAACGUACCUUUUGGUUCGGAACAACACAGGGAAACUUGUGCUAAUACCGGAUAAGCCCUUACGGGGAAAGAUUUAUCGCCGAAAGAUCGGCCCGCGUCUGAUUAGCUAGUUGGUGAGGUAACGGCUCACCAAGGCGACGAUCAGUAGCUGGUCUGAGAGGAUGAUCAGCCACAUUGGGACUGAGACACGGCCCAAACUCCUACGGGAGGCAGCAGUGGGGAAUAUUGGACAAUGGGCGCAAGCCUGAUCCAGCCAUGCCGCGUGAGUGAUGAAGGCCCUAGGGUUGUAAAGCUCUUUUGUGCGGGAAGAUAAUGACGGUACCGCAAGAAUAAGCCCCGGCUAACUUCGUGCCAGCAGCCGCGGUAAAGUCUGU